AGAGUUUGAUCAUGGCUCAGGACGAACGCUGGCGGCGUGCCUAAUACAUGCAAGUCGAGCGGACAGAAGGGAGCUUGCUCCCGGAUGUUAGCGGCGGACGGGUGAGUAACACGUGGGUAACCUGCCUGUAAGACUGGGAUAACUCCGGGAAACCGGAGCUAAUACCGGAUAGUUCCUUGAACCGCAUGGUUCAAGGAUGAAAGACGGUUUCGGCUGUCACUUACAGAUGGACCCGCGGCGCAUUAGCUAGUUGGUGGGGUAAUGGCUCACCGAGGCGACGAUGCGUAGCCGACCUGAGAGGGUGAUCGGCCACACUGGGACUGAGACACGGCCCAGACUCCUACGGGAGGCAGCAGUAGGGAAUCUUCCGCAAUGGACGAAAGUCUGACGGAGCAACGCCGCGUGAGUGAUGAAGGUUUUCGGAUCGUAAAGCUCUGUUGUUAGGGAAGAACAAGUGCGAGAGUAACUGCUCGCACCUUGACGGUACCUAACCAGAAAGCCACGGCUAACUACGUGCCAGCAGCCGCGGUAAUACGUAGGUGGCAAGCGUUGUCCGGAAUUAUUGGGCGUAAAGGGCUCGCAGGCGGUUUCUUAAGUCUGAUGUGAAAGCCCCCGGCUCAACCGGGGAGGGUCAUUGGAAACUGGGAAACUUGAGUGCAGAAGAGGAGAGUGGAAUUCCACGUGUAGCGGUGAAAUGCGUAGAGAUGUGGAGGAACACCAGUGGCGAAGGCGACUCUCUGGUCUGUAACUGACGCUGAGGAGCGAAAGCGUGGGGAGCGAACAGGAUUAGAUACCCUGGUAGUCCACGCCGUAAACGAUGAGUGCUAAGUGUUAGGGGGUUUCCGCCCCUUAGUGCUGCAGCUAACGCAUUAAGCACUCCGCCUGGGGAGUACGGUCGCAAGACUGAAACUCAAAGGAAUUGACGGGGGCCCGCACAAGCGGUGGAGCAUGUGGUUUAAUUCGAAGCAACGCGAAGAACCUUACCAGGUCUUGACAUCCUCUGACAACCCUAGAGAUAGGGCUUUCCCUUCGGGGACAGAGUGACAGGUGGUGCAUGGUUGUCGUCAGCUCGUGUCGUGAGAUGUUGGGUUAAGUCCCGCAACGAGCGCAACCCUUGAUCUUAGUUGCCAGCAUUCAGUUGGGCACUCUAAGGUGACUGCCGGUGACAAACCGGAGGAAGGUGGGGAUGACGUCAAAUCAUCAUGCCCCUUAUGACCUGGGCUACACACGUGCUACAAUGGACAGAACAAAGGGCUGCAAGACCGCAAGGUUUAGCCAAUCCCAUAAAUCUGUUCUCAGUUCGGAUCGCAGUCUGCAACUCGACUGCGUGAAGCUGGAAUCGCUAGUAAUCGCGGAUCAGCAUGCCGCGGUGAAUACGUUCCCGGGCCUUGUACACACCGCCCGUCACACCACGAGAGUUUGCAACACCCGAAGUCGGUGAGGUAACCUUUAUGGAGCCAGCCGCCGAAGGUGGGGCAGAUGAUUGGGGUGAAGUCGUAACAAGGUAACCGUA
rnacentral:rRNA from 1 species